ensembl:snoRNA
UGAUGACUGUUCUUCCUAUUGCCUUUAGGCCUAGCACUAGGAUUUUAGGUCAUCAUAAAUUAAAAUUUGAUUUUCCUUACUCAGAGAUUAUUAGCAUAAUGGAAUUAUCUGUAUAUUCUCUGACAUUUGUGGAGUCAAACAAUU